GUAUGUGAGGGUGAUCUGAUUGCGACAUCUGCCACCAGGGUGGUUCUAGUUGGCAAGGCAGGUGUCCCCUGCCCCUCACUCUGCGUCACGUGUGUCUCUCUUGAAACUGUGCUCAGUUCCCGAGCGUGGCCUUCCCCAAUAAAGGAAGCCAAUCCUUCCUUCAGUCAGUGGUCUCUGAUUGGUUGAGCUCCACAGCUGGAACCUCCCAACAAGCUCUCAAGAGUUUAAUGUGUUCAUAUGCUGAUCCAAAAGUUGGAGGUUCUGACCCACCCAGAAGUGCCUCAGAAGAGACCCGAAAACCAGCCACUGACAGCCUAU
rnacentral:snRNA from 1 species